AGCUCCAAUAGCGUAUAUUAAAGUUGUUGCGGUAAAAAAGCUCGUAGUUGGAUUUCUGUUGAGAAUGGGCGGUCCAUACCACGUAUGCGCAUCUGCUUCAGUCUCGGCAUCCUUUCGUAUGUCCUCACUGCGCUUGAUUGCGUGGUAGGAACUACGGAACUUUUACUUUGAGGAAAUUAGAGUGUUCACGGCAGGCUAUCGCCCGAAUACGUUAGCAUGGAAUAAUGAUAUAGGAUCUCGAUUCUAUUUUGUUGGUUUCUAGAAUUGAGGUAAUGAUUAAUAGGGACAGUCGGGGGCAUUCGUAUCAACACGUCAGAGGUGGAAUUCUUGGAUUGUGUUGCGACGAACUACUGCGAAAGCAUUUGCCAAGGAUGUUUUCAU
rnacentral:rRNA from 1 species